rnacentral:rRNA from 1 species
UGCUUGGGUAUUACGAACACAUGUUUAAAACCCAAAGGACUUGGCGGUACUUUAACCCACUUAAGGGAACCUGUCCUUUAAUUCGAUAAUCCACGACAAUCUUAUUUAUUUUAGAACAAUUCAGCUUGUAUACCGUCGUCAUAAGUUAACCUUAAAAAGAAAAAAAGUUAACAAUAAAGAUGAAUUAAUCUUUUCCUAAUAGGUCAGAUCAAGGUGCAGCCAAUAAAUAAAGAAGGAGAUGGGUUACAAUUAAUAAUUUCUAAUGGAAUCUUAAAAGAAAGAUAAAGAAAGAAAUAGGACUUAAAAGUAAUUUGUAAAAACAAAUACCAAUGAAUAAGGAAACAAAGUGUGCACAUACCGCGG